GGGAUAACUAUUGGAAACGAUAGCUAAUACCGCAUAAGAGCAGUUGUUGCAUGACAGCUGUUUAAAAGGUGCAAUUGCGCCACUACCAGAUGGACCUGCGUAGUAUUAGCUAGUAGGUGAGGUAACGGCUCACCAAGGCGACGAUACAUAGCCGACCUGAGAGGGUGAUCGGCCACACUGGGACUGAGACACGGCCCAGACUCCUACGGGAGGCAGCAGUAGGGAAUCUUCGGCAAUGGGGGCAACCCUGACCGAACAACGCCGCGUGAGUGAAGAAGGUUUUCGGAUCGUAAAGCUCUGUUGUAAGAGAAGAACGAGUGUGAGAGUGGAAAGUUCACGCUGUGACGGUAUCUUACCAGAAAGGGACGGCUAACUACGUGCCAGCAGCCGCGGUAAUACGUAGGUCCCGAGCGUUAUCCGGAUUUAUUGGGCGUAAAGCGAGCGCAGGCGGUUAGAUAAGUCUGAAGUUAAAGGCUGUGGCUUAACCAUAGUACGCUUUGGCAACUGUUUUACUUGAGUGCAAGAGGGGAGAGUGGAAUUCCAUGUGUAGCGGUGAUAUGCGUAGAUAUAUGGAGGAACACCGGUGGCGAAAGCGGCUCUCUGGCUUG
rnacentral:rRNA from 1 species